rnacentral:rRNA from 1 species
CCCUUAGAUGUUCUGGGCCGCACGCGCGCUACACUGACGAAGUCAGCGAGCAUGUCCUACGCCGACAGGUGCGGGGAAUCUUGUCAAACUUCGUCGUGAUGGGGAUUGAUUAUUGAAAUUCUUGAUCAUCAACGAGGAAUUCCUAGUAAGCGCAAGUCAGCAGCUUGCGUUGAUUACGUCCCUGCCCUUUGUACACACCGCCCGUCGCUACUACCGAUUGAAUGGUUUAGUGAGAUCUUCGAAUUGGCGCCACUGCGGCUCAGCAAUGGGCUCGGUGGAUGCCGAAAAGUUGAUCAAACUUGAUCAUUUAGAGGAAGUAAAAGUCGUAACA